UACGAAGGGGGCUAGCGUUGCUCGGAAUUACUGGGCGUAAAGCGCACGUAGGCGGCUUUCUAAGUCGGGGGUGAAAUCCUGGAGCUCAACUCCAGAACUGCCUUCGAUACUGGAAAGCUCGAGUCCGGGAGAGGUGAGUGGAACUGCGAGUGUAGAGGUGAAAUUCGUAGAUAUUCGCAAGAACACCGGUGGCGAAGGCGGAUCUCUGGGCCGAUACUGACGCUGAGGAGCGAAAGCGUGGGGAGCGAACAGG
rnacentral:rRNA from 1 species